UACGAAGGGGGGCGAGCGUUGUUCGGAAUUACUGGGCGUAAAGAGCUCGUAGGCGGUCUGUCGCGUCUGCUGUGAAAACUCAGGGCUUAACCCUGAGCUUGCAGUGGGUACGGGGCAGACUAGAGUGCGGUAGGGGAGACUGGAAUUCCCGGUGUAGUGGGUGGAAAUGCGUAGAGUAUCCGGGAGGAACACCGCGGCGAAGGCGGCUCC
rnacentral:rRNA from 1 species